rnacentral:rRNA from 1 species
CCUACGGGGGGCAGCAGUGAGGAAUAUUGGGCAAUGGGCGCGAGCCUGAACGAGCAAAGAAGCGUGAAGGAUGACGGCCCUACGGGUGGUAAACUUCGUUUAUAAAGGAAUAAAGUGAGGCACGUGUGCCUUUUUGUAUGUACUUUAUGAAUAAGGAUCGGCUAACUCCGUGCCAGCAGCCGCGGUAAUACGGAGGAUCCGAGCGUUAUCCGGAUUUAUUGGGUUUAAAGGGAGCGUAGAUGGGUUGUUAAGUCAGUUGUGAAAGUUUGCGGCUCAACCGUAAAAUUGCAAUUGAUACUGGCAGUCUUGAGUGCAGUUGAGGUAGGCGGAAUUCGUGGUGUAGCGGUGAAAUGCUUAGAUAUCACGAAGAACUCCGAUUGCGAAGGCAGCUUACUAAACUGCAACUGACAUUGAUGCUCGAAAGUGUGGGUAUCAAACAGGAUUAGAUACCCUAGUAGUC